GGGGGAUAACACUGAGAAAUCGGUACUAAUACCCCAUAAUAUUCUGGGAGGCAUCUUUCGGAGUUGAAAGCUUUGGUGGUAAAGGAUGGGCAUGCGUUGUAUUAGCUAGUUGGUAAGGUAACGGCUUACCAAGGCGACGAUACAUAGGGGGACUGAGAGGUUAACCCCCCACAUUGGUACUGAGACACGGACCAAACUCCUACGGGAGGCAGCAGUGAGGAAUAUUGGUCAAUGGACGGAAGUCUGAACCAGCCAUGCCGCGUGCAGGAAGACGGCUCUAUGAGUUGUAAACUGCUUUUGUACGAGGGUAAACGCAGAUACGUGUAUCUGCCUGAAAGUAUCGUACGAAUAAGGAUCGGCUAACUCCGUGCCAGCAGCCGCGGUAAUACGGAGGAUCCAAGCGUUAUCCGGAUUUAUUGGGUUUAAAGGGUGCGUAGGCGGUUUAGUAAGUCAGCGGUGAAAUUUUGGUGCUUAACACCAAACGUGCCGUUGAUACUGCUGGGCUAGAGAGUAGUUGCGGUAGGCGGAAUGUAUGGUGUAGCGGUGAAAUGCUUAGAGAUCAUACAGAACACCGAUUGCGAAGGCAGCU
rnacentral:rRNA from 1 species